UACGGGGGGGGCAAGCGUUGUUCGGAAUUACUGGGCGUAAAGGGCUCGUAGGCGGCCAACUAAGUCGGACGUGAAAUCCCCAGGCUCAACCUGGGAACUGCGUCCGAUACUGGAUGGCUUGAAUUCGGGAGAGGGAUGCAGAAUUCCAGGGUGUAGCGGUGAAAUGCGUAGAUAUCUGGAGGAAUACCGGUGGCGAAGGCGGCAUCCUGGACCGACAUUGACCGCUGAGGAGCGAAGCUAGGG
rnacentral:rRNA from 1 species